rnacentral:tRNA from 1 species
GUGGGUAUAGCUCAGUGGUAGAGCGCAUGCUUAGCAUGCAUGAGGUCUAGGAGGUCCUGAGUUCAAUCCCCAGUACCUCCA